rnacentral:rRNA from 1 species
UACGUAGGAGGCGAACGUUAUUCGGAUUUACUGGGCGUAAAGGGAGCGUAGGCGGUUCUCUAAGUCGAAUGUGAAAUCCUCUGGCUUAAUCGGAGGGCGCCAUUUGAUACUGGGGGACUUGAGAGCAGCAGAGGGAAACGGAAUCUCCAGUGUAGCGGUGAAAUGCGUAGAUAUUGGAGAGAACACCAGUGGCGAAGGCGGUUUUCCAGGCUGUUUCUGACGCUGAGGCUCGAAAGCGUGGGGAGCGAAGCGGAUUAGAUACCCGCGUAGUCCACGCCCUAAACGGUGGACACUAGAUAUAGGAGGUAUCGACCCUUUCUGUGUCGAAGCUAACGCUUUAAGUGUCCCGCCUGGGGAGUACGGCCGCAAGGCUGAAACUCAAAGGAAUUGACGGGUCUCCGCACAAGCAGCGGAGCGUGUGGUUUAAUUCGAUGCUACACGAAGAACCUUACCAGGACUUGACAUGUAGAGUUCAACCGGCGAAAGCCGGCGGCCCGCAAGGGCGAUCUGCACAGGUGCUGCAUGGCUGUCGUCAGCUCGUGCCGUGAGGUGUUGGGUUAAGUCCCGCAACGAGCGCAACCCUUGUCCUAUGUUAAGUUCUCAUAGGAGACUGCCUUGUACAGCAAGGAGGAAGGAAAGGAUGACGUCAAGUCAGCACGGCCUUUAUGUCCUGGGCUACACACACGCUACAAUGGACGAUACAGAGGGUUGCUAAGGAGCGAUCCGGAGCUAAUCCCUAAAAAUCGUCCUCAGUUCGGAUUGCAGGCUGAAAUCGCCUGCAUGAAGUCGGAGUUGCUAGUAACCGCAGGUCAGCUAUACUGCGGUGAAUACGUUCUCGGGGAU